rnacentral:rRNA from 1 species
AACGAACGCUGGCGGCGUGCUUAACACAUGCAAGUCGAACGAGAAGUCCUGAGCAAUCGGGAGAGUACAGUGGCGCACGGGUGAGUAAUGCGUGGGUAACCUGCCCUUGGAUUGGGGAUAACUUCGCGAAAGCGGGGCUAAUACCGAAUAAUAUGCUGACUCCUAAGGGAAUUGGCAUCAAAAGUGGCCUCUGCAUGCAAGCUACUGUCUGAGGAUGGGCCCGCGUACCAUUAGCUAGUUGGUAGGGUAAUGGCCUACCAAGGCUACGAUGGUUAGCUGGUCUGAGAGGACGAGCAGCCACACUGGAACUGAGACACGGGCCAGACUCCUACGGGAGGCAGCAGUGGGGAAUAUUGGACAAUGGGCGCAAGCCUGAUUCAGCCAUACCGCGUGGGUGAAGAAGGCCUUCGGGUUGUAAAGCCCUUUUGUUGGGAAAGAAAUCCUAUCGGUUAAUAACCGGUGAGGAUGACGGUACCCAAAGAAUAAGCACCGGCUAACUUCGUGCCAGCCGCCGCAGUAAUAC